rnacentral:rRNA from 1 species
UACGGAGGGUGCGAGCGUUGUCCGGAAUCAUUGGGCGUAAAGGGCGCGUGAGGUGGCCCGGUCAGUUCGUGGUGAAAGCGCGGGGCUCAACCCUGCGUCGGCCAUGAAUACUGCCGCGGCUGGAGCACUGUAGAGGCAGGCGGAAUUCCGGGUGUAGCGGUGGAAUGCGUAGAGAUCCGGAAGAACACCGGUGGCGAAGGCGGCCUGCUGGGCGAGUUGCUGACACUGAGGCGCGACAGCGUGGGGAGCAAACAGG